AUGAACGCUAGCUACAGGCUUAACACAUGCAAGUCGAGGGGCAGCAUUUUAGUUUGCUUGCAAACUGAAGAUGGCGACCGGCGCACGGGUGAGUAACACGUAUCCAACCUGCCGAUAACUCCGGAAUAGCCUUUCGAAAGAAAGAUUAAUACCGGAUAGCAUACGAAUAUCGCAUGAUAUUUUUAUUAAAGAAUUUCGGUUAUCGAUGGGGAUGCGUUCCAUUAGUUUGUUGGCGGGGUAACGGCCCACCAAGACUACGAUGGAUAGGGGUUCUGAGAGGAAGGUCCCCCACAUUGGAACUGAGACACGGUCCAAACUCCUACGGGAGGCAGCAGUGAGGAAUAUUGGUCAAUGGGCGAGAGCCUGAACCAGCCAAGUAGCGUGAAGGAUGAAGGCUCUAUGGGUCGUAAACUUCUUUUAUAUGGGAAUAAAGUUUUCCACGUGUGGAAUUUUGUAUGUACCAUAUGAAUAAGGAUCGGCUAACUCCGUGCCAGCAGCCGCGGUAAUACGGAGGAUCCGAGCGUUAUCCGGAUUUAUUGGGUUUAAAGGGAGCGUAGGUGGAUUGUUAAGUCAGUUGUGAAAGUUUGCGGCUCAACCGUAAAAUUGCAGUUGAAACUGGCAGUCUUGAGUACAGUAGAGGUGGGCGGAAUUCGUGGUGUAGCGGUGAAAUGCUUAGAUAUCACGAAGAACUCCGAUUGCGAAGGCAGCUCACUAGACUGUCACUGACACUGAUGCUCGAAAGUGUGGGUAUCAAACAGGAUUAGAUACCCUGGUAGUCCACACAGUAAACGAUGAAUACUCGCUGUUUGCGAUAUACAGUAAGCGGCCAAGCGAAAGCAUUAAGUAUUCCACCUGGGGAGUACGCCGGCAACGGUGAAACUCAAAGGAAUUGACGGGGGCCCGCACAAGCGGAGGAACAUGUGGUUUAAUUCGAUGAUACGCGAGGAACCUUACCCGGGCUUAAAUUGCAACAGAAUAUAUUGGAAACAGUAUAGCCGUAAGGCUGUUGUGAAGGUGCUGCAUGGUUGUCGUCAGCUCGUGCCGUGAGGUGUCGGCUUAAGUGCCAUAACGAGCGCAACCCUUAUCUUUAGUUACUAACAGGUUAUGCUGAGGACUCUAGAGAGACUGCCGUCGUAAGAUGUGAGGAAGGUGGGGAUGACGUCAAAUCAGCACGGCCCUUACGUCCGGGGCUACACACGUGUUACAAUGGGGGGUACAGAAGGCGGCUACCUGGUGACAGGAUGCUAAUCCCAAAAACCUCUCUCAGUUCGGAUCGAAGUCUGCAACCCGACUUCGUGAAGCUGGAUUCGCUAGUAAUCGCGCAUCAGCCAUGGCGCGGUGAAUACGUUCCCGGGCCUUGUACACACCGCCCGUCACACCAUGAGAGUUUGUAACACCCAAAGUCGGUGGGGUAACCUUUUAGGAGCCAGCCGCCGAAGGUGGGACAGAUGAUUGGGGUG
rnacentral:rRNA from 1 species